rnacentral:antisense_RNA from 1 species
GAGGAACUCCCGACAAAAACUCAGCAAUUUAUUAAUCCCUAUAUUAGGCCAAUAAUGGCUCUCGAUGAAGCGAGUCGAUGAUGCACCUGGAAGUUACAUCCCGUUAAUGUGCUCCUCGGCCAGCCCGAAUCAUGUGUGACUGAGUAUUGGUGUAAUCACCCGCCAGCAGAAAAUUUCUGCUGGCUUUUUUC